rnacentral:rRNA from 1 species
AAAGUUGGAUUAAUACCGCAUAUAGCUAUAUAGUUGCAUGAUUAUGUAGUGAAAGAUUUAUUGGUAUAGGAGGAGUCUGCGGCACAUUAGCUAGUAGGUGAGGUAAAGGCUUACCUAGGCGACGAUGUGUAGCCGGUCUGAGAGGAUGAACGGCCACAAUGGAACUGAGACACGGUCCAUACUCCUACGGGAGGCAGCAGUGGGGAAUAUUGCACAAUGGGGGAAACCCUGAUGCAGCAACGCCGCGUGAGUGAAGAAGGUUUUCGGAUUGUAAAGCUCUGUUAGCAGGGAAGAGGAAGGACGGUACCUGCAGAGGAAGCCACGGCUAACUACGUGCCAGCAGCCGCGGUAAUACGUAGGUGGCAAGCGUUGUUCGGAAUAACUGGGCGUAAAGGAUGCGUAGGCGGUUAAACAAGUUAUAUGUUAAAUAUAUAGGCUUAACCUGUAGAAAGCAUAUAAAACUGUUUAACUAGAGUGCAGGAGAGGUAAGUGGAAUUCCUAGUGUAGCGGUGAAAUGCGUAGAGAUUAGGAAGAACACCAGUGGCGAAGGCGA